GACGCUUAUGUCCGUGAUUAAUAGUAGAUUACGAUUUAUCAAUCGGAUAAAUACCGAAAAGUCGAUGAUAAUCAGUCAGUCUUUGUUCAACGAUCGUCGUGAGCAUUCGCAACCGGGCAGUCAUCGCUAAUAACCGAGCAAAAAUAAUCAAAACCAACAUGUCGAAAGUACUUUUGUUUGCACUCGUCGCCUUGAUGGUGGUCUCUUUCGUCGUUGCCAAUCCAACAUUUCUUGUGAAUAGUGAAACCUGCAGCAAAAUUGGUGGCCCAUGUAUUACAACUGAGAGUUGUUGCGAACCCUUCCAUUGUCUUACUUACGCUCACCGAUGUGUUACAUAAUUUUUUCCCAAAACAUUCCCAAUGGAAAUAUGGACGACUCAUGGAUCAGCUUCCUUCCUCCUCUGAUGUACAAAUUAAAAAUGCCAUUGUAUUGAAGAUUUACUGACCAUUGAGCGAUGGACUUAUUUUCAACAUUGAGGAAAAAAAUGCGAAACCCAGAAUAGACGAAGAAAUAAACUUACAAUUAGAAAUAUUUAUAUAAAAAUAUUGUAAUCAAUAAAAUUAUUCAAAUAUCGCUA